rnacentral:lncRNA from 1 species
UAGAACUUGGGAAUUUUAGCUGGGUGCAAGAAUAUUUCGUUUCCCAAUCUUCCUUGCAGCCCGCCAUGACCAAUAGGAUGUAAUUAGACAGUGUGUGAACUUCCAAAAAAUGUCCUUAAAGGAAGGGGGCACGCAUUUCUCCUUCUCUUCAUACUUUGCUUCGAAUUGGAAUGCAAACCUGAUGGCUAGAUCUAAAGCAGCCUUCUUGGACAAUAAGGGUGAUUUUUGUGAACCAAGGCUAUAGUGGUGCCUUCUAGGAAGGGAGGCUUCUGGGAAGUGUGGCCUGGAAAAGACUGGAGGAACAGAAAAAGACGAGAGGAAACCCCACGAGGGUUACUCUGUCAUGAGUUACUGUAAUGGCCUGAGGUGUUUGGCCUCUAGCCAGGAGGUGGCACUUGCAAGAGAGCACCAACUGCAGUAAUAGAAGGGGGAUAUAAGCUUGUGCUAAGUUGGCCAGGAUAUAGAAAUAGGACAGACAAACAGAGUGGGACGAGAAAAUUCCUUCAAGAAUCACAGUUGUUGUGGAUCUCAAGGUGAUGCAGAUUCUGGCACAG